ACAAGCGGCGGAGCAUGCGGAUUAAUUCGAUGCAACGCGAAGAACCUUACCAAGGCUUGACAUACACCGGUAACGCCCAGAGAUGGGUGCCCCUUUGUGGUCGGUGUACAGGUGGUGCAUGGUUGUCGUCAGCUCGUGUCGUGAGAUGUUGGGUUAAGUCCCGCAACGAGCGCAACCCUCGUCCUAUGUUGCCAGCGGGUCAUGCCGGGGACUCAUGGGAGACUGCCGGGGUCAACUCGGAGGAAGGUGGGGAUGACGUCAAAUCGUCAUGCCCCUUAUGUCUUGGGCUUCACGCAUGCUACAAUGGCCGGUACAAAGGGCUGCGAUACCGCGAGGUGGAGCGAAUCCCAGAAAGCCGGUCUCAGUUCGGAUUGGGGUCUGCAACUCGACCCCAUGAAGUCGGAGUCGCUAGUAAUCGCAGAUCAGCAACGCUGCGGUGAAUACGUUCCCGGGCCUU
rnacentral:rRNA from 1 species